rnacentral:rRNA from 1 species
GUGUCACUGAUAGAUGGACCCGCGGCGUAUUAGCUAGUUGGUGGGGUAACGGCCUACCAAGGCAAUGAUACGUAGCCGAGUUGAGAGACUGAUCGGCCACAAUGGGACUGAGACACGGCCCAUACUCCUACGGGAGGCAGCAGUAGGGAAUCUUCCACAAUGGGCGCAAGCCUGAUGGAGCAACGCCGCGUGCGUGAAGAAGGUCUUCGGAUCGUAAAGCGCUGUUGUUAGAGAAGAACACGGAUAAGAGUAACUGUUUAUGCGUUGACGGUAUCUAACCAGAAAGUCACGGCUAACUACGUGCCAGCAGCCGCGGUAAUACGUAGGUGGCAAGCGUUGCCCGGAUUUAUUGGGCGUAAAGGGAACGCAGGCUGUUUUUUAAGUCCGAUGUGAAAGCCUUCGGCUUAACCGAAGAAGUGCAUUGGAAACUGGGAGACUUGAGUGCAGAAGAGGAGAGUGGAACUCCAUGUGUAGCGGUGAAAUGCGUAGAUAUAUGGAAGAACACCAGUGGCGAAAGCGGCUCUCUGGUCUGUAACUGACGCUGAGGUUCGAAAGCAUGGGUAGCGAACAGGAUUAGAUACCCUGGUAGUCCAUGCCGUAAACGAUGAGUGCUAAGUGUUGGAGGGUUUCCACCCUUCAGUGCUGCAGCUAACGCAAUAAGCACUCCGCCUGGGGAGUACGACCGCAAGGUUGAAACUCAAAGGAAUUGACGGGGGCCCGCACAAGCGGUGGAGCAUGUGGUUUAAUUCGAAGCUACGCGAAGAACCUUACCAGGUCUUGACAUCUUUCGCCAACCUAAGAGAUUAGGCGUUCCCUUCGGGGACGGAAUGACAGGUGGUGCAUGGUUGUCGU